CUCACUUCGUGUCCCACACUCUCAGUUCUCUUGGUUCUACAUUCUCUCUUCUCCCAUGUCUCUAAUCUCCAAAGCAGCCACACUUCUUCUCCCUCAAGCCUCCACACAUUUUCUCUCCUCCCUUGCCACCCCUAGCCACCGCUGUAGCAACCCCAAGCCACUGCUGACCCACCAUUUCUUCAGAGUUUUUUACUGUUCAAGUUUCUUUAGAGUAAAAUUCUUAUUCAGAUUUGGCUGUUUGAGCAAAAGGACCUGAGAAUCAACGGCUGAAUGAUUGCAUUAUUUACAACCUAACAAUCCAUUGGAGGUUCAUUUGGUGUUAUUGGCCUAGGUGUUGGUGUUUCACUCUUGUCAUGAGUUAAGCACUCAUUUAUUGUGAUAAGUUUGGAUUUUUUUUGGAAAGGUGUUUGCUUGGCCUGAGCAUAGGUGGUUUCAGUUUAGAUCAUCAAUCUCCAACUCCUCAUAGAUCGCAAGCUUCAUCCAAUCAAGAAACUAGCACAUAGUGGUAAAUGCAAUGUUGCAAUGUUUUAUAAGGACUCCAUCCCAAGUUGUUUUGAACAACCACAUUUAUUUUGGAAGAAUUUUACUUUGUUUAUAAUAUUGUAAUAGUUUGGGUGGUGGUUCUUUUUGUGUAGGUAGACAAGUGUCUUGUUACAACCACAUUUCUUUUAGAAGUAUUGU